rnacentral:rRNA from 1 species
AUACGGAGGGUGCGAGCGUUAAUCGGAAUUACUGGGCGUAAAGGGUGCGUAGGCGGCUUGAUAAGUCGGAUGUGAAAGCCCCGGGCUUAACCUGGGAAUUGCAUUCGAUACUGUCAGGCUAGAGUAUGUCAGAGGUUGGCGGAAUUCCUGGUGUAGCGGUGAAAUGCGUAGAUAUCAGGAGGAACACCAGUGGCGAAGGCGGCUAACUGGGGCAAUACUGACGCUGAGGCACGAAAGCGUGGGGAGCAAACAGGAUUAGAAACCCGUGUAGUCC